UUUGCCUGUGCAAGGAGAUGGGCGGCGGCGGGCGCUGCGUGCGGCACUGCGGCGUGCGGCGGCGGCGAGCCGGCGACCGCGGGGCAGCCCGCAGCCAGACAGGCAGGGGCGGCUGCCGGCUGGGCGCGCCGGCGCAGCAUCUGCCAGGGCGGCCGGCGGCCGAGCGGCGCGUCGCCGGCUCGAACGACUGGCGGCGCCGCACUGCCGCAGGGGGCUGUGGCCUGUUGGGCGGCUAGGCGCCGAGCCGCCGUCCGCCGAGACUUCUGUAGCAGUGACUGAUUAGUUAUUAAUUGUCUCUUUUGCCAGUUGAUGACUACAUUCACAGUUCAUGAUCUGGGCACUCCCGGCCUGAAGGGAAUUCUAUCUAUAAUCCAUUCCUUUCCCCUACCAGAAGUCUGCAAAGGCUGAAGUCCAGUACUUGCAUCCACAUGCUGGCGUGAAUGCUAGUGUUGUCCAGAAUGCAAAUCCUCUAGUUAGUUUUUAGCUUUUCUGGUGUGUUUGGAACUGGGGCUUUUGCUGUUGGUACUGAUGUUGCAUUUGAUACUGCGAGUGGAAACUUCACCAAGUACAAUGCGGGACUGACCGACUGAGCCACACUACUCGAUCUCACUGCGGCACUGCUUCUGUAAGCAGCUUCAUCCAAUUCUUUGGUGUAUUAACACUCUGCUAAUAUUCGUACUGUUGUUUUGGCCCUUUACCUGUUGUUUAACCCCUCCAAGUCCCAGUCAAUUGGCAGUAUUUCCUGGGGACUUCUUAGGGCAGCUUGCUCAGUAUUGUCCUGCAAUGACAUCAAGCAUUGCAAAAUUGUCCUCUAAAUUGGUGAAUGACUCGGUGAUAAUUCAGGAGAGCACUGACGACAACGAGGGAUUGGAAGAGGCGGAGGUGGCAAAGUGUAAUGGUUGAUAUUCCGGCGACAAGGCUGCAUCUGCAGGACCACUACCAGUCGUCGCCCUACUGUGUCAAGAAGAAGACAGGGGGGUGACCGGGAGAGAGAGUAGGGGUAGAUCAGGGAAGAAGAGAUAGCAAGGGGAUGACUACAUUGUCACUUUAUUUUUAAUUUUUGUUUUAAUGACUGGACUGUCACACGGAAGUCGUGUUAGUAAAAUAAAAAUAAAAAAAAAAACACCCUCGGAACAGUCAAGGGAGUCGUUUUGCAUAGUUUUAAUAGUUAGGAUGGUCGUUAUACUCGAUUUUGUGAUAGAGGGACAUGAAUCACACUCGACUGCUAGUUGAGGGAGUCAAAGAAAAGAAGGGAAGGAAGAGUGGAGGGAAAAGAUCGGGCCAAUGGGAAAGCAGGCCAGCAACAAAAAGGAAAAUGGACCUCUGCGAUGCAGGUUUGUUGCCAGAGUUUUGGAACAAGCAAAUGCAUUUUAGAGAGAGAAGGAGAAAAAGGUAAGGCUCCUCCAUGGUUAGGGACUCCUGUACCACGACUACCACAUUCUGGUUUUGCAGCGUAGCACGCGUGAUAGGGCAUUGUAUGCUUUUUGCUGUAGCGUGUGCAACCUUGGUUGGGAGCUGCUUCCGUCGGCAGUUUAGACGGAUGUGUGUCCUUGUACCAAUUUGCAAUAAUAGCAUUCCCUUGAAAGAUUA